rnacentral:rRNA from 1 species
GAUGAACGCUGGCGGCGUGCUUAACACAUGCCAGUCGAGCGAGAAGUUUUGAAAAGAUUCUUCGGAUGAAAUUUAAAAUGGAAAGCGGCGGACGGGUGAGUAACGCGUAGGCAACCUGCCCCAUACAAAGGGAUAGCAUUUGGAAACGAAAAUUAAUACCUUAUGAAACUUAACUAGUGCAUGCUAGGUAGGUCAAAGAUUUAUCGGUAUGGGAUGGGCCUGCGUCUGAUUAGCUAGUUGGUGAGGUAACGGCUCACCAAGGCGACGAUCAGUAGCCGACCUGAGAGGGUGAACGGCCACAUUGGAACUGAGACACGGUCCAAACUCCUACGGGAGGCAGCAGUGGGGAAUAUUGCACAAUGGGGGAAACCCUGAUGCAGCAACGCCGCGUGAACGAUGAAGGCCUUUGGGUCGUAAAGUUCUGUUCUAGGUGAUGAAAACUGACAGUAACCUAGGAGAAAGCCCCGGCUAACUCCGUG